CAAAAUCAGAGCUUGGCAUGGCUCUCUGCUGGCACCGUGCAGGGUGUGAUUACAUCAGAUCUGUGCAACUCAGAUCUUGGGGAGGGGUUGGGGGGUGGAAGGUGGAGGGAGGAAGGGAGAGAAAACAGAGGGCGGGAAGAAGGGAAGGAAGUGAAGAAGGGAAUGAGGGACGGAAAGAGAGAGACAGCGAAGAGAGGAGAAAGCAUCUCUGAGGUUGGGGUGCAUCUUAACAUCAUUGUCCACAAACUGUCCUGUGCUGUCAUUUUCCCUGUGUCUGAACAAACUUGGUAGUUACACCCGUGACUUGAUUGGGUGACCUCAACCUUUGAUGUUUCAGUCAAUGAACCAUUCAGGCAUCAUUGAGAUCAUUUUCAUCUUGCUUAUUUUCCUGAACAUCUUUCUGUGAAAAUCAAACAAGUCCAAGGAUCAAACUCCCAGGUGUCAACAGCUUGGAAGGGUUCCACACACUUUUAAGAAAUUUUCUGGCCAGGCACGGUGGCUCAUGCCAGGAAUCUCAACACUUUGGGAGGCUGAGGUGGGCAGAUAGCUUGACGCCAGAAAUUCAAGACCAGCCUGGGCAACAUGGCAAAAGCCUGUCUCUGUGGAAAAUACAAAAAUUAGCCAGGCGUGGUGGUGUGCGCCUGUAAUCCCAGCUACUCAGGAGGCUGAGGCAGGAGAAUCGCUGGAACCUGGGAGGCAGAGCCUGCAGUGAGCUGAGAUCGCGCCACCGUACUCCAGACCGAGCGACAGAGCAAGACUCGGUCUCAAGAAAAGAAAAAAAAAAAAUGCAACUGAAGGAAACCUAGUGUGCAGAAAUGUUUUGAAGAAAACUUCAAAAAAAAAUUCUAUUAGUCUUAAAGAUAUGAGAAGAUAUUACAUCCAUUAAAGAAGAAUAAUUUACCAUAAAAAAUUCAAACAAUGAAAAGGGCUCUUAAAAAUUUAAAACAUGGCUGGGCACAGUGGCUCACACCUGUAAUCCCAGCACUUCGGGAGGCCGAGGCAGGCAGAUGACCUCAGGUCAGGAAUUUGAGACCAGGCUGGCCAACAGGGUGAGACCCCAUCUCUACUAAAAAUACAAAAAAUUAGCUGGGCAUGGUGGUGUGAGCCUGUAAUCUCAGCUACUUGGGAGGCUGAGGCAGGAGAAUUGCUUGAACCCAGUAGGCGGAGGUUGCAGUGAGCCGAGAAAAGAAAAAGAAAAAAGAAAUUUGUGAGAGCUGAGCAUAAGCCACACUAAAUGCACACACAGGAAAUAUUAAUACGUAUUAGUUAUGUUUUGAGGGCAUAUGUUCACAAAUACAAAACCUCUGGGGAGGCUGAGGCGGGUGGAUCAUGAGGUCUGGAGUUCAAGACUAGCCUGGCCAACACAGUGAAACCCCCUCUCUACUAAAAAUACAAAAAUUAGCUGGGCGUGGUGGCAGGUACCUGUAGUCCCAGCUACUCGGGAGGCUGAGGUGGGAGAAUUGCUUGAACUCGGGAGGCAGAGGUUACAGUGAGCCAAGAUUGUGCCACCACGCUCCAGCCUGGGUGACAGAGCAAGACUCUGCCUUUUCUUUCUCAAAAAUCCCUGGAGUCUGCCUUUGCUUCAGAAAUUAGUUUAUCCAGCUAUACUUGAUGGAAAACCCAGUGUUUCAGUAGCAGAAAGAGCUUUGUGGUGUAAGCCAUUCUAGAAUAAGUAGACAGGCUAGGGGUCUCUUCCGUGGGAUGCCAGUUAGCUGUGUCCCAAAGACAGACCUCAAAGACUCCAUCCCAGGGACACAAUGCCUCUCCCGAAGCUAGGACUCUGGAAUCAGGACACAGGUUGCUCUCUCUGGACAUAUUUCUCUAAGUAAACAAGUUGCUCUUCCUUAGAGUAGCUGUUGUGUUGCUGUAUUCCCAUCACAUUCCCAGGGGUGUGAAAUAGUAGACUCUCCAGUCUACUAGAGAUGGGGCCAUUUUCUCAGCAACACUUGCUUGUUAUAUCCUGUUAAAAAAUCUUAACGUAGAAAAAUGGGCAAAACAUAAAUGUAUAACUCCAUGAACAACUGCAAAGUGAAAACAUAUAUAGUCAAUAUACAUAUUUUAAAAAAUAAAACAUUGUGGGCGGGCACGGUGGCUCACAUCUGUAAUCCCAGCACUUUGGGAGGCCGAGGCAGGCGGAUCACCUAAGGUCGGAAGUUCGAGACCAGCCUGCCCAACAUGGAGAAACCCUAACUCUACUAAAAAUACAAAAUUAGCCGGCAUGGUGGCACAUGCCUGUAAUCCCAGCUACUCGGGAGGCUGAGGCAGGAGAAUCGCUUGAACCCGGGAGGCAGAGGUUGCGGUGAGCGAAGAUCACACCAUUGCACUCCAGCCUGGGAAACAAGAGCGAAACUCCAUCUCAAAAAAAAACAUUGCCAACACACCAAAAGCCCCAAACAGUAUCUGCUAUCAUUGCUAUCAUUACUUAAACACUGUGGUAUAAUUUUUCCAAUUAUUGAAUUUUGAUUUUUUAGUAUAUUCACAAGAUUUUGCAGCCGUCACUAUAAUUUAGAGUAUUUUUGUCCUCUGUCAAAGAACCCCCCCAUACCCAUUCGCUGCCACUUCAUACUCCCCACAUUCUGUCCCCACCCUAAAGACCUACUUUUUGUCUCCAUAGAUUUACCUUUUCUGGACACUUUAUAUAAAUGCAAUGAGUCUUUUGUGACUAGCUUCUUUAACAGCAUAAUGCUUCAAGGUUCAUCCAUGUUAUCGAAAGUAUGGAUAUGUCAUAUCUUUUUAUUGCCAAAUAACAGUCCAUUGUGUGGCUGUACCAAUAUUUUAUGUAUUCAUUCCUCAGCUGAGAGACAUUUGGCUGGUUUUCACUUUCUCGCUAUUAACAAUAAUGCAGCUCUGAACAUUUGUGUACAAUAAAAAUAAAUAGCAUCCUACAAUUAAUAUGGAAACAGCAGAAAUUUAUUUCUCAUAAUUCUGGAGGCUGAGAAGUUCCAUAUCAAGGAUCUGAUAGAUUCAAUGUCUGGUGAGGAAAUGCUUCAUAAAUGGUUCAUAAAUGGUGCUUUCUUGCUGUGUCUUCAUGGUGGAAGGGGUAAGGUCUUCCUGGGGCCUCAUUUGUUUACGUAUGUAUUCAUUUAUAUUUUUGGAGACCCAGCCUGCAUCUGGUUUCCCCUUCUUCCUUGAAUGUAAACCCUAGAAAGCUGGGCUUUCUUUUGAGAGCUUGGGAGAUUUUUGUCUCAACUCAAAGAGACUAGAGGAUGACCCAUCUAUUUUUUCAUUAGUUUUAAACUCAGCUUUUUUACUUCCUGUAGAGUUUCAGAAUUUGGCAAAAGUCUCAAGGCUCAAGCUGGUUGUCUGAAGCCUUUCAAACCCCCAGUUUUAUCACCACAUAUGAGGGAAUAAGAAGAGGAUUCCUUCCUAAUUGCUAGCUUCUGUUAGCAGUAGCUGAUGCCAUGGCCCCUGCUGCCAGCUCUCAAUCUUCACCUGAGCCAGGUGGCACCCCUUUGAGAAAUAGGGUACUACCCCUUCACCUCCUUCACCUGCCAAUCUGGGCUUCCUCUGUGGAGGUCCCAACACCCACUGGUCUGUGUCCUCUUCUCAGAGGUCCCAGCACCAACCGCACCAGCCACAGGACUCCUCUUCUCGGUGGUACAACCAGCAGCUUCCAGGCCCAGCCACAUAUCCAGAGCUUGGGGAUCAGGUAUAGAGAGCCAAUCCCCUGGGAACCCAUGCAUUAGUCCCAGGGGGCCUCUCCUCCAAGCGCCUACAUUCUGGAAAAGCCUCAAGUUUCUACAGUCAUGAUACCUGGGAAACUCAGUGCUCCCUUUUGGAUUUUUCUUAGCCCUUCAACACCUAUGUAAAUCUGCAUGAAAUUUCCACUGUUUGAAUAGAGUGUCAUUCCCUGCUGAGCCCUAACUGAUACGCUGUGUUUCCAGUGUCCCUCAUCCACUAGACUCAGUGGUGUCAGGAAUGGUGUGGUAUUUUGUUAUAAAUUUAACUCCUUAGAUGGACACACAGAGAGCCUCGAUAAAUAUUUUUAAUCCAUCAAUGCAAGGAGUGUGGUUGUCAGAAGUCAGCUAAAAGUCCAAGUUUAAAUCUAAGCUCCGCCGUUCACAGCUUGGGUGACCUCAGCUUCUUUUUUGGAAAUGAAGUUCAUAUUUUCCGAGCACUUUUUCUGUGCCAGGUGCUUCCAAAUGUAUCUCGUUUAAUCCUCACAACAUACCUCAGAGGAAGACAUCAUUUUUACAAGUAAGGAAAUAGAGGCUCAGAGAGAUGAAGUGGUUGACCCGGGCUGUCUAUCUUGUAAAUGGUGGGCUGUGAUUCCCACACGACUGGAGUUUCUGGAGUCAGAGGCUGCCUGGAGUCAGGGGCUGCCUGACUCCAGAAACCAUUUUCUGUGCAUUUCAUGUAGCUCCACCUCAAUUGCCUUCCUUUCCUCAUCUGCAGACUGAUUAAAUAAAAUGUAUAAUUUGGAUGAAAUUUGAUAAAUAAUUCUGAAUGCAUUCUUUUUUAGAAUAAAUUAUCUGCAGUUCAGUACUUUAUUCUUACUAAUAAAUUCCAAGCAACACUCCUACUCACGGGCCUGGCCCUUCCCAUGCAUUUUCUUUUCUUGCUUUUUUUUUUUUUUUUUGAGAUGGAGUCUCGCUCUGUCACCCAUACUGAAGUGCAGUGGGGCCAUCUCGGCUCACUGCAAGCUCUGCCUCCCAGGUUCAAACAAUUCUCCUGCCUCAGCCUCCCGUGUAGCUGGGAUUACAGGGAUGUACUACCAUGUCCGGCUAAUUUUUGUAUUUUUAUUAGAGACAGGGUUUCACCAUGUUGGCCAGGCUGGUCUCGAACUCCUGACCUCAAGUGAUCUGUGCACCUCAGCCUCCCAAAGUGCUGGGAUUACAGGCAUGAGCCACCGCGCCCAGCCCCCAUACGUUUUCUCGCUGGCCAUGCUGUGCACCGUCUACUAAGUUGCCAUGGCUGCCUGGCCAUCUGACUUGUCACCCUCUCAUCCCUGACCUGACCCCAGUGUGUCUGCUUUUGCAGGGCCAAGGGGUCAGAUUCUUCUGCAGAGGACAGCCCUGUGAGGUCCAGGUUACGGACUCCUGCUCAAGCACAUGUAGGAUGCCAGCCUGAUGGUGUCUGGGUCCUUCAGUAGUAUUCAUGGCAGCCUGCUGAACUCUGCCUUCCAAGAUCCAGUUUAUAUUUUAGGGCCCCAAUGUAAAUGUUGCAAAGUCUUUCCCAUUUCCCCUGCCUCAGAACAGCAGCAUGGAAAGCCUAGAAUGGAAAAAGAGAAUGAGCCCAAACCCAGCAGCUCAGGCCAGGAGGCAUGCCUGUUCCACAUCACUCCACGUGGCUUUGUGUUUGUUGCCUCCACAUCUGUUCCAACCCAGCUAGGCUGGUGCAGAAGGAGCCCAGGGGGUCCUGCUUAUCACUGAAUUCCUUUACUGAUGCAUUGUUUUAAAGAGAAAAAAUCCCCAUGAAAGGUCCACCACAGGAACUGGGGACCUCUCAAUGAUCCCAAUAGGUAAGGAAGACUCAUUUGCAGUGAGCUCCAGGGGACCUUUCUACAACUCACAGUGACCAGUGGGAAUAGGACACACAAGGUGAUGCCAAGCCUGGCACAACAGCUGAGUACCUUGACUCGUCCCAAAUCCCAGAGUAAAUGUAGGGCACCUGAGGCAGCUGCCAAGGGACAGAUGUCCUUCAGAGCAGUUCUGGACAAGGCCCUCAUUUAUUUCUCUCUGUCACCUGCCCCUCUCUCUCUUUAAAAACCUAGGCAUUUUGUCUUCUUUUCCUCAUUUUUGUCCUACACAGGAACAUGAGAGCCACCUGGUGGAAGGUUUUAUUAGCAUGGAGGACGAGGGAGAGUUUGGCAGCUUGGCAGAGCUGCAGGUUGUGGAGAAGCAGCUGAGACAACAGCCCUGAGAGAGGAGAUCUGUGCUUCCCUGGAGCACAGGGCAGGUUGACACAUCAGCUGCGGAACAGUAUCUGGACCAGAAGCCUUUGCUCACUGUGAGAGACAGGCCGGGUCACUUACUUGCUCACCGCACAUGGGGGCUGAGUGGUGGCUGUUACAGAUCCAUGGAGGCCAGUGGUUGAGGCUCUGAAGGGGACAUGGCUGUCGCUGUGGGAG
rnacentral:lncRNA from 10 species